rnacentral:lncRNA from 1 species
AAAACACUUUAUUCCAAUAAAAUACAGUUCGUAUAACGCUAGCCACAUUCGUGAGUUCGAAUUCACAAUUAGGUAUUUUCAGAAAUUUUUAUAGCAUGUAUUUUACUAAAUUUUCAGCCAACAUAAAGAGAAAAAUUAUCUGAAAUUACAAGUAAUAAACAAAUAUUGCGAUAUUUCAAUUUUAAAGUACGGCAAUAAAAAUGAGAAAUUGAAAACUGAAAGACCUUCUAUGACGAAUUGCUGAAAAUUAAACGUCGCAAAAUCAAAAUAUUAUGUGUGUAGAGAAAUCAUGAUGUAGCUUUCUG